rnacentral:rRNA from 1 species
UACGUAGGGGGCGAGCGUUGUCCGGAUUUACUGGGCGUAAAGCGCGCGUAGGCGGUCCGUUAAGUGCACAAGUGAAAGCUCCUGGCUCAACCAGGAAAUUGCUUUGCAUACUGGCGGGCUGGAGGGACGCAGAGGUCUGUGGAAUUCCUGGUGUAACGGUGAAAUGUGUUGAUAUCAGGAGGAACACCCAUGGCGAAGGCAGCAGACUGGGCGUUUCCUGACGCUGAGGCGCGAAAGCGUGGGUAGCAAACAGG